CUACUACGAUUAAACACCUUGCAAUUUUUAAAUAAUUUUCGUAAUUAUAAUUAGUUUUAACUGAAGGAGC
rnacentral:tRNA from 1 species